AAGACCUUGCACUUUUGGAGCGGCCGAUGUCUGAUUAGCUAGUUGGUGGGGUAAAGGCCUACCAAGGCAUCGAUCAGUAGCUGGUCUGAGAGGACGACCAGCCACACUGGGACUGAGACACGGCCCAGACUCCUACGGGAGGCAGCAGUGGGGAAUUUUGGACAAUGGGGGCAACCCUGAUCCAGCCAUGCCGCGUGAGUGAAGAAGGCCUUCGGGUUGUAAAGCUCUUUCAGCCGGAACGAAACGGUUACGGAUAAUACCCGUGACUACUGACGGUACCGGAAGAAGAAGCACCGGCUAACUACGUGCCAGCAGCCGCGGUAAUACGUAGGGUGCAAGCGUUAAUCGGAAUUACUGGGCGUAAAGCGUGCGCAGGUGGUUUUGUAAGUCAGAUGUGAAAGCCCCGGGCUCAACCUGGGAACU
rnacentral:rRNA from 1 species